rnacentral:rRNA from 1 species
CACGUAGGGCGCAAGCGUUGUCCGGAAUUAUUGGGCGUAAAGAGCUCGUAGGCGGACUGUCACGUCUGCUGUGAAAAGCUAGGGCUUAACCCUGGCCUUGCAGUGGAUACGGGCAGACUAGAGGUAGGUAGGGGAGAAUGGAAUUCCCGGUGUAGCGGUGAAAUGCGCAGAUAUCAGGAGGAACACCAGUGGCGAAGGCGGUGCUCUGGGCCGGAACUGACGCUGAGGAGCGAAAGCGUGGGGAGCAAACAGG